UCUGUCUGCUUUUGGGAGGAAUCCACAGGCCACGAAAGGGUUAGAAAUCAGUCAGCAGGAGCGCUGAAGAGGGGAGACCGGGAGGGAAGGACGGGAACCCAGAGUCUCUGAAGGAAGGCUGACAGCGUGCCUGCCUGUGCCCUCCACCCGAGAAAGGCCGUCCCUGGGCAGCUUUGAUUGAGUGCUCGCAUUCCGCUACAGGACUUAUCAGAACAUUCCGGGCCGAAAGAAACGGCUGAUGGAGGAGGGUUUCUGCUCUCUGGGCUCCAGCCACCCUGGGGCUUUCUGCCUGGAGCACCGAUCUGAGGAAAAGGGCACUCAGAGAACUUGGACUGUUUGCCUGCUGAACUCUCUGGUGUACUCCACCCCCCACCCCUGCCUUGCCUUCUUGGUUCAGGGGGCAGCCACCAGCCCGUGUCACAGCAUCCUCUCACGGACAUGCUUCAGUUUGCACCAAAGGAGCUGAACACAGACUUUGUCGACUGGAAACGCAUGUUCUCGGUUAAAAAAUAACUGCGGGGGGUGGGGGUGGGGGAUCUGUUGGCCAAAGGACAGAGUGGAUUCAGAGAGCAAUUAUACAUCCCAGAAAGGACAACUCUCUUGCAACGUCAAAACGUCCUCCCACACCUGAGCCAGAGCUCCUCAGAGGAGAUUUUCAUAAACCAAUAUCCCCCUAUUA